rnacentral:rRNA from 1 species
GAUGAACGCUAGCGGGAGGCCUAACACAUGCAAGCCGAGCGGUAGAGUCUCUUCGGAGACUUGAGAGCGGCGCACGGGUGCGGAACACGUGUGCAACCUGCCUUUAUCUGGGGGAUAGCCUUUCGAAAGGAAGAUUAAUACCCCAUAAUAUACUGGAUGGCACCAUCUGGUAUUGAAAACUCCGGUGGAUAGAGAUGGGCACGCGCAAGAUUAGAUAGUUGGUGAGGUAACGGCUCACCAAGUCAGCGAUCUUUAGGGGGCCUGAGAGGGUGAUCCCCCACACUGGUACUGAGACACGGACCAGACUCCUACGGGAGGCAGCAGUGAGGAAUAUUGGACAAUGGGUGAGAGCCUGAUCCAGCCAUCCCGCGUGAAGGACGACGGCCCUAUGGGUUGUAAACUUCUUUUGUAUAGGGAUAAACCUAGAUACGUGUAUCUAGCUGAAGGUACUAUACGAAUAAGCACCGGCUAACUCCGUG